rnacentral:rRNA from 1 species
AUGGGGUGCANCAGGGGCGAAACCUUUACACUGCACGCCAGUGCGAUAGGGGGACACCGAGUGCGAGGGCAUAGAGCCCUCGCUUUUCUGUACCGUAAGGUGGUACAGGAACAAGGGCUGGGCAAGACCGGUGCCAGCCGCCGCGGUAACACCGGCAGCCCAAGUGAUGGCCGAUAUUAUUGGGCCUAAAGCGUCCGUAGCUGGCCGAGCAAGUUCGUCGGGAAGUCCACUCGCUUAACGAGUGGGCGUCCGGCGAAAACUGUUCGGCUUGGGACCGGAAGACCUGAAGGGUACGUCUGGGGUAGGAGUGAAAUCCCGUAAUCUUGGACGGACCACCGAUGGCGAAAGCACUUCAGGAGGACGGAUCCGACAGUGAGGGACGAAAGCUAGGGUCUCGAACCGGAUUAGAUACCCGGGUAGUCCUAGCCGUAAACGAUGCUCGCUAGGUGUGGCACAGGCUACGAGCCUGUGCUGUGCCGUAGGGAAGCCGUGAAGCGAGCCGCCUGGGAAGUACGUCUGCAAGGAUGAAACUUAAAGGAAUUGGCGGGGGAGCAC